rnacentral:piRNA from 1 species
UGGAACCAUGGAUCUACGAUUGGCUUUAGC